GGGCCUUUAAUUAGUGCUGCAGUACCGGCCUAUCACUGUUGGGUGCGCUGCCUAUAAAGGUGGGUGGUUGUGCACUGGGAGCACUCUUGCCUGGGAGCUCCUGGCUACCCCGCCCCCUGUUGUCACCGAAACCUGAUCGCCUCACCUGAUCGCCUUUUAGUUGGAUCGUGCAGCUCGCCGUUGUUUGGCAGUUUAUUGGCCGGGUCUUCCCUCGCCCGUAUCGACCCCAGUUGUAGGGCGUGCGAGUGUUUCCUCCUCUACCUGUUGCAGCGGGGAGCGAUCAGCUGUAGAUCGAGUUGCACUUGUAAUGGUGUUGCUCGCUACAGGUGGUCCCCUUCCUCCCCUUUGAUGUUCAUUCAACUCCUGACGGGUUGACGUGUGUGUGGGCGGUUUCUGCCAGCACGUCCCCCCCCCCUCUUCACGCUGCUGUUGGCCGGCUGCCGUUUUGUCCACUGAUUAUAUAGCCAACACAUCGAUCCUACUCUGCAUCUCCUACUGUGCUGUACCUGCCCCGAGUAUGGUGAUUGCUGCCUCACCCUAAGUCUCAUUAUUUUGAUCCAUUCAUUUAACAGACUUCCAACUGAUCUUAUUGAUGAUAUUAUUUGUGUUUUGUGGGUUGCUUUGCAUGUUUGUUUUGGCUUAAUUGCUUUACUUAUCCAUGAUAUUAUUUGUGUUUUGUGGGUUGCUUUG